CAGGCAGCGGGUUUUAACUCCAAACUAGGGAAGUGAGGAUCCGGGUCCCGCAACCCGCUGAGUCUCAAAGGAGGCGUCCUCACUCUUUUGCUUACUUUGCUGCACGAAUUUAACCUGUAACUUUACGCGAUGCUUGAGCUUUGAAUCCAGUUGGGUCAAUGCCCUAAUUCGUAGUCAGUUAAUUAUUGCAUUUCUAUCCCCUCUUCCUUCUGGGAGUUUAGAGUGCCCGAUGGGGAGAUCGCCGUUCAUAUAACAACCUCUGAGGAAGGCCAAUUUGAGUGUGAUCAGCCCCACUUUCUGGCUCAAUCAAUAUUAAUUCUUGCCUUAGCCGUGUAUUCAUACAUUGCACUAGUGAUGAAUCAAACUAGGGCUGAGUUCCUGGCACACUGAAUUAUAAACUAUAUAAUUUGUUAUGUAGUCAUGUACUAUAGUGGCUAAGUAUACUGUGGGCCAUAAUGAUUUUGAUAUUGGAUGAACUCAUUCAAAGCGUUGUUGGUGACAACAGAAUAAUUAUUACAUAGAAGAGAUUUUGCAGUUUUUGUGAUGAGUUCAAAAAGGGUAGCCUUAUAAGUUUAUAAAGAAAUUUCUAGAAAGCUGACUUUCUGACUUGCUUCUAGUUAAAUAAGUUUAGUUUAUACAGUGUAUGAGUGACCUGUGAAAAGGGCCACUUACUUAUGUUGAUGCUGUGCAGCUGAAAUUCAACUCUUGAAUCUGAGUGGUUUCAUUAGCUAGAAGUCAUAAAAUUCUUCACAGUGGGCCUUUCAGACUUUUUAUGAAAAUCGUCUUUUCUAUCUCUAAUCAGAUGCAAUGAAGUGGCAAAAUAUCUCAAUUUGGUUUUUGGAUUUUCUCUGUGUAGAUGCAGAUGUGAACUCUUACUAGUGGUUGGACUCAAAAUGGGUCUUCCCCUGUGAUUUCAUCUUGAUAAGCUCUUUGGUAAACCAAGGAGCAGUAUUGGAUCUGUGAGAAGAGAGAGAUCACUCCAGUGUAAUUUGGUCAAACUCCUCAGCUUCCUCUUUAUUAUAAUGGAUAAUCAGUCUUAACUGCCCUGAGAUUCUUGGAAAACUGCACAGGUGCCUUCUGAAACUUCAUUGGAUCCAUUAGGCACCAUGGGUUGACUGAUCUGAUAGAUCACUCCUGUGAAGAGAAGUUGCACAGCAAAACUCCUAAACAAAGACUGAUCUGAGUGUUGUUCCUUUUUUGUUUUUCAUGUUCAGAGUACUGCAGUAGCAAACAAUGUGAUCUUACUGAACGUCACCCACAACAGUCCAUUUCAGUUAACUUAAAAUGUCGGCAUGUAGUUCUUUCACCUAAUUUUUCACUGUGUUGAACAUGCUCAUGCUUCAUAUGUUGCAUUUCCCACUAUAAUUCUGUCUUUGCACCUUUGCAUUUUCUUUUUCUAUGUGGCACUGUUAGUGACUGGGUGUCCUGAAGAAUUUAAUCAAUCUGACAUGAACACUAUGGAAAAUCCUUAGCUCUUUCUCAGUGGCAUAUUGAGUGCCAUCUGACCUCAGAGGCCCAGCAGCAGCCUCUAUAUUGUCAGUCGCCAUAAUGAUCAUCCAAACUACCCAAGUAGUUUUCUAGUAAAAUACAGGAGUGGUUUACCAUUGUCUUCUCUCAUACAAUAUGAAAUGGUGCCUUUACUGUUGUUACUAAAGUGAUUGUUCUCUUCCAGCAUUUUCCUACAUUGCUGCUGCAUGAUACAUGGGUCUGUUUGCUUUAGCUGGGAUGUUGUUCAUGCCUUGGUGAUCCUGCUAGAUGUAUAUACUCUGGGCAUGGCCUUUUGAUGUUCUUAAUUAAUACUUUCUGAAAAUAAAUUUAUUGUAGUGGUUUCUAUUAGAUAUAUUUGUGUAGCUUUAUAUCCUAAUAAUUUUUGUUGAAAUAAUACACUGUUGUAUUCUUUUUCCAUUAAGUUUAUGGGCAAUGUCUCUUCAUUUUCUCCUACCCCAAUUUGUUAGGAUGGAUUUUACAGAAGCCUAUUCUGAUAGAUGUUCGGCUGUUGGGCUUGCAGCCAGAGAAGGCAAUAUUAAACUUUUGAAGAAACUAAUCAAAAAGGGAUACAGCAUUGAUGUUCCUGAUAACAGAGGUUGGAUGGCUAUUCAUGAAGCCGCAUUUCAAAACAGAAAUGAAUGUCUAAAGCUUUUAAUUCAAGCAGCAUCCUCUGCUAACUACAUAAGAUCCAAAACAUUUGAGGGUACUUGUCCAUUACAUCUUUCUGCAAGUAGGGGAAAUCUGGAAUGUACUGCUAUUCUUCUGGAAUCUGGUGCUGAUCCUAAUGAAGUCACUAAUGAUGCCACCACACCCUUAUUUCUAGCUGUUGAAAACGAACAUACUAAUGUGAUUAAGCUUCUCCUUCAACAUGGAGCCAAUCUUAAUGGAUCCCACUGCUGGUCUGAAUGGAAUUCUUUGCAUCAGGCUGCUUUUCAGAAUUACUCUGAAAUACUGAAAUUACUCCUGGAUGAAGGAGCCAACAAAGAGUCUGUAGAUGAUUUUGGGAUCACACCUUUAUUUAUUGCUGCACAAUAUGGAAAACUGGAAUGCUUAAGGAUACUUAUAUCAUAUGGAGCAAGCGUCAAUUGUCAAGCAAAAGAUCAAGCCACACCCCUCUUCAUUGCGGCCCAGGAAGGCAAUGACAAAUGUGUGGAGCUGUUACUAGCCGAAGGAGCCAAUCCAAACCUUUACUGCAAUGAAGAGGAAUGGCAGCUACCUAUUCAUGCGGCAGCACAAAUGGGACACAGCAAUAUAUUGCGCAUGUUGAUACCAGUUACUGAUCGGGUUUGUGGUAGUGCUGAAGGCAAAGUGAGUCCUGUCUACUCUGCAAUCUACAGUGGUCAGGAAAUUUGCUUGGAACUUUUGCUUAAGGAAGGUUACAGUCCGGAUGCUCAGUCUUGUCCUGUUUUUGGCUGCAAAUCGCCAAUGUCUCUUGCUUUUCAAAAAGGAAGUGAAAUAAUUCUCAUUCUUCUGAAAUACGGAAUCAGAAUUCUUGAAAUAGAUUUAGGCCUUUGCCUGCUACAUAGAAGAUACGGUCUAUUUCGGCAUUUCUUGAGGAAGGAUUGCAAGUUCCUAUGCCAACAACAUCUGGCAGAAUUUUCAAAGUAUGCAGUCAGUGCAGGACAUGACUACAAAGAAUGGCUGCCCUCACUCUUACUAGCUGGGUUUAAUCCUGUGAAUCUUCUCUUUCAAGAUUGGAUUUUCUCUGUAAGCAGCGAUGCUCUGAACUUCCUGCUGGAGUUUACUAAUUGGAAGAGGCUUCCGUGGAAUGUGGAGCAAGUUCUUUCCAGCCGCAGGGCCACUUCCAUGUGGAUGCCCUGUACUUACUUUGACUUCUGAAACCAGUGUGCUGUUGUGUUUUUAAUAAAUGAUCCUGUGGCUCUGCUUAAUCCUGCUCUGGAAAUAAAGGUCAUCCAAUUACUGCAGGCAACAGUGAAGCUGCAGACUGCCUGCCAGGCGGGGAGAAUAGUGCAGAUAUAGUCUGCAAUCAUCAGUUGCUAACUAGAUACCCUGGAGACCGAAAUACCAUCUUUUAAUAAUGGAAAGAACAUAUCCCAUCAUUGUCUCAUCUGUGCCGCCUGGAGAUUCGGUCACUUUUAACAAGUGUUUGUUUGCAGUCAGACCAGCAUAUCCGCCAGUUGCCGAUACCUACUUGCCUACAAGACUUUUUACUUUAUUUG